CCCUUAGAUGUCCUGGGCCGCACGCGCGCUACACUGAUGCAUUCAACAAGCCUAGCCUUGACCGAGAGGUCCGGGUAAUCUUUGAAACUGCAUCGUGAUGGGGCUAGAUUAUUGCAAUUAUUAAUCUUCAACGAGGAAUGCCUAGUAAGCGUGAUUCAUCAAAUCGCGUUGAUUACGUCCCUGCCCUUUGUACACACCGCCCGUCGCUCCUACCGAUUGAAUGUGUUGGUGAGGAGCUCGGAUUGGCAGCAGUUGGUGGUUCGCCACCGGCUAUUGCUGAGAAGUCCUCCAAACCGCCCCAUUUAGAGGAAGGAGAAGUCGUAACA
rnacentral:rRNA from 1 species